rnacentral:misc_RNA from 1 species
UCGUUCGAUUGUCGAUUUAUUGAAUCGUUUGUUGCCCAUACUGGCUGGAAUGACUGAAAUAAAGUGAAAUUCACGAUGCACCAAAUACCAUUGAAUGCGAAUUCGCGCUGCAAUGCCAAAGUGCGCAGAGCAACAUACCAAAUCAAACCGAAACCAAGCUCAACCCAACUCACAUACUCGCAUCUAGAGCCAGGAGUCCUGCGCCAGUUUUACAGUGUGCAUUUCGAAAUAGUUGAAAUGAGCCCUAAUGAGGGGGUCGUCGUAUCAAUUCGUAAAAUAAACUCUUUGUAUUGAAACGUUGUUGGAAAAUAAGUAAGAUGAGUUUCUUUAAACUUUGCUUCAAUUGCACUUACCGCAUAUUUUUAAUGAUAUUUAGAAAAUAUACUUUUUAUAUUCUUUACAUUUGGAAAAUACUAAACGAGGGCGUAAAAAAUCAUAAUUUACGUAUAUCUAUGUAAUUAUGUAUAUAUGCUGCGUGUACGUAGAAAUCAUACAACCUCACGUACGUACAUCCAUCCCCAUACCCUACUCAUACGCAUAUACUUACAUAUGCACAUAUGUAUAUAAAGGUAUUUAUGUAUGCCUCUCAUUGCUGCUACUGCAUCACGCUUUUGCUGCUGAACUGCGCAUACGCAACACAUGACAAACGUCAAGGAGACGGGCUGGCCUUAGUCCCCCAUUUCUUUUGUUUGCUUUGCCAUUUCUGCAGCUACUCUGUGCCUUGUACGCUUCGCCCUCUGGCUGGCGACUCUGGAUCUAAAAAUCAAAGAAAAACACCAAUUGCUGCACAGUAGCAGUUUCAUGUUAAUGCGCUUCGAUAUUGCAGCGAAAUGCUUACAACAAGGCAUCAGGCGCAGCAUUUCAGUUCGCAAGCACAUACAACGUCUCCCAAUUGGGACAAGUCGACAUGAGCAAUAAUUGAGACUUUCGCAGAUUUAAAAAAUCGUAGGCCUGAAGAGGUAGCAGAAAAAAAACACUAUUUGUCCUUUGCCUUGCCGAAAAACUGAAAAUUAUCGCUUUGUCGUUUUCGAAAAGACUUUUAGAUUAAAAGAGAAUCCAGAUUCUAGCAGUAGCAGUUCGCUUAGCCAGAACCGUGUUUGAAACAUCAUGUUCAAAAGCAAGCUUCUGUUAUGGAGAGAUGGAAAUACUGACGGCUUUGCCAACUAAGCGAAGGCUUUGUAAAUAUUUCCGACGUGCGAUGGAGCAACUGUUGCAAGAAUCCACAUGCAGUAGCGCAAAGCUGCUCAGAUUUAUGGUAUGUCUCCAUGGGCCCUUAAACAGACCAGUCCGAAAUGGUUCCUCUAAAACUACUUAUUUUUCAGAUCUCCUCCAAGACCGACUAAUAUUACGAAUAAACACCCUGUAGGCGCAACCUUGAACUAUCGCGCCGUCAUGGCAACGGAAAAGGCCAAACAAAAGUUUUCAUUUACUGGCAUUUCCGAAGCUUUUACGAACACAAUAUCUGUUUAUUAAAUGUGGGAACACAAAGUAGAUAAAUAAUACAUUUUCGGUUAGCAGUUUUGAAGUUGGUUAAAUCAAUAAUGUCUGAAGUCAGAGGAGCCAAUUGAAUUUAAAGAGCGAUUGAAGUAGCAACCACUUCACAUAAAAAAGAAAUCGAGCAGAGGAAACCUAGAACAGGCAACAAUCAGAGCGGCAAUUGUACGAAAAGCAAAACGCCUUCAAAACGAAAAAAGCGCACACAGUCGGUAGGAUGACGACAGCAGUUCCUUUGGCUCCGUUGGCAGCGCUCCCCUCAACGCGCAUGCUGAUGGGCACAGCCAGCAACAUAAGUUUAGCUUGUGCGAAUGCCACGACAGCCAUGGCGUCACUUUCAAUACAGCAGACACAUUCGCAGUCCCAGCCGGAGUUGGAGCCGCAGCUGCCGCCGACGAUAACAAUAGCCGCACUCGAGUGGCAGUAUUUUCAAGCGGUUUCACUGUUUCGGCGGCGAAAAUAUGAAAAAUGCGUUGAGGUGUGCAAUGGCAUGUUGCGCACUGGCCAUGAAACGAAUGUGCAAAUGUUUACCUCUUCGUCGGAGAGCCACGAGGCCGAUGCACAGUACAGUAGGGGAGUUGGCGGCAGCGGCAGCAUAGUCAGGAACAAUAACAACAGCAACAACCUGAAUCUCACAAGCGGCUCAAGGCAGGGGCGAAGCCACAACCAAAACUUCAAAAGCAACAACACGAAAUAUGGUAAUACCAAUGGUAAUAACAAUAAAGUGAGCAUGCCCACGUGGAUGAUGGAGGGCGUAUGGCAAUUAAAAAUGCGCGCGCUUACCCAGCGCGUCUACAUCGACGAUCUGGAGACGGACGAUGCCUUCGAGGGGGAGAAUGAGGAAGUGGAGUUGGAGCGAAUUGCCACAGCCGCCCGGCCAGGUACCUCAAUUAAAACAGCAUUCAUACCACGACCAACUACAAGCACGCUGCGAGCUCACACCAUAGCUGCAAAAAGAAAUGACCUACCAAUGAGUGAAGGGAGCCGCACUGCGACCGAGCAGAGCAGUAAGAGCAUUAGACCCAAAUCGGGUAUGGUACGGCCGGGUACUGCUACCUCUCGACCUGGUUCUUCAAUGGGUAGCCGUACAGCAUCACGAUGUGGUACUGCUUCGCGCAUUCGCGCUUCUUCUGCCGCCGCAUAUACGGUGGGUGAUGUUACCGCGAAACUGUAUCAAGCUUCACGCCUCAAUCCCACGAUAUACGCCGAACGAGAGGCACUUAUUAAAGCACUUUUUCAAUUCCUCUACUAUCACGAAUCGGAUGUUCAAAAAGCAUAUUCACUUUGCGAAGCUGUCAUGGAGGUGCACAAACAAAAGCGAACUUCUGGUUCCACUCGUUCGGGGGCACCAGUUGAUUGGUGGUGGGAUCAGCAAAUAGGCCGAUGUCUGCUUAUAUUACGCUCUCCACGAAAAGCGGAAACAUUUCUCGUGCAAUCAUUGGCAGUAUUUCCGCAUCCUGAUACGUUUUUACUGCUAUCACGAUUAUAUCAACGUCUGGAUGAACCCGAACGUGCACUCGAACUCAUCGGUAUGGCUGUAGACCGACAUCCGUUCAAUGUCACAUUUCGUAUCGAACAAGGGCGUAUUUUUGAUGCUCUAUCCAAACCCGAUAGUGCCAUGCAAAUAUAUCGUCUCAUUACCAAGCUUAAUCCUAUAAAUGUCGAAGCACUAGCCUCAAUUGCUUUGAAUCACUUUUACGAUGGAAAUCCUGAGAUGGCCCUUAUGUACUACAGCUUUGGGAAUUCACUCGGCAGAACUUUAUUGUAAUAUUGCAUUGUGUUGCUUGUAUGGGGGACAAAUCGAUCUGGUACUUCCUUGUUUUCAGCGAGCUCUGCUGCUGUCCAAGACUACCAAUGAAAAAGCGGAUAUAUGGUACAACAUGAGUUUUGUCGCAUUGUCAACUGGUGAUUUUCAUUUGGCUCGUCGAUGUCUUCAGCUAUGUCUAACAGCGGAUGCGUGCAGCGGCGCCGCCCUUAAUAACUUGGCUGUACUAGCAGCGCACUCUGGCGAUCUGAUGCGCGCCAAAUCGUACCUGCAGGCGGCAAAGGAAGUGCUGAGAGACAGUCCGGAAAUCAACAGUAAUUUAAAAUACAUGCAAGCCCAUUACAAACUCUAACGUAUGAGCGUGAAAACUACAAAAGUUUCACUAGGACAGGCACCGCC